rnacentral:rRNA from 1 species
UACGUAGGGGGCGAGCGUUGUCCGAAGUUACUGGGCGUAAAGCGCGCGUAGGCGGCCCUGUAAGUCCGCUGUGAAAGUCAAAGGCUCAACCUUUGAAAGCCGGUGGAUACUGCAGGGCUAGAGUCCGGAAGAGGCGAGUGGAAUUCCUGGUGUAGCGGUGGAAUGCGCAGAUAUCAGGAGGAACACCGGUGGCGAAGGCGGUUCUCUGGGCAUGACCUGACGCUGAGGAGCGAAAGUGUGGGGAGCGAACAGG